GGUGGUCCACACUAGGAAAAAACUAUUAUAAAGCUAGAAGAAGUCCCUAUGAAAGUACUGAAUGAAACUAUGAGUCUUAAAUUUGCAUGGUCUGUUGGAAAACAGGUUGACUUUGUUUCAACACCAAGAAGGGGUGAAUGUUGAUAUUGUUGACAACAAAAUAUCUAUAUCAAUGAUGAAGGUUGAAAAACAGUUAUUUUCAUAUGUCAUUUUAGACCUAAUUAC
rnacentral:lncRNA from 1 species